rnacentral:rRNA from 1 species
CAACGUGGGUAACCUGCCCAAGAGAUCGGGAUAACACCUGGAAACAGAUGCUAAUACCGGAUAACAACAGAUGAUGCCUAUCAACUGUUUAAAAGAUGGUUCUGCUAUCACUCUUGGAUGGACCUGCGGUGCAUUAGCUAGUUGGUAGGGUAACGGCCUACCAAGGCGAUGAUGCAUAGCCGAGUUGAGAGACUGAUCGGCCACAUUGGGACUUAGACACGGCCCAAACUCCUACGGGAGGCAGCAGGG